UCCUACGGGACGCAGCAGUGGGGAAUAUUGCACAAUGGGGGAAACCCUGAUGCAGCGACGCCGCGUGAGUGAAGAAGUAAUUCGUUAUGUAAAGCUCUAUCAGCAGGGAAGAAAAUGACGGUACCUGAGUAAGAAGCCCCGGCUAACUACGUGCCAGCAGCCGCGGUAAUACGUAGGGAGCAAGCGUUAUCCGGAUUUAUUGGGUGUAAAGGGUGCGUAGACGGGAAUGCAAGUUGGUUGUGAAAUCCCUCGGCUUGACUGAGGAACUGCAACCAAAACUACAUUUCUUGAGUGCUGGAGAGGAA
rnacentral:rRNA from 1 species